rfam:Triticum aestivum genome assembly, contig: Triticum_aestivum_CS42_TGACv1_scaffold_374926_5AL
GGGAAAUGAUGAAGAACAAUUGGUCCGUGUUUCUGAAAAUCACGUGAUGAUAUCCAAUGAAACACUCAAAUCUUCUGAUUCC